GGGGACAUAGCUUAGUUGGUAAAGCACUGGUUUUGCACACCAGAGUCCGGGGUUCGAUUCCCCGUUUCUCCAC
rnacentral:tRNA from 1 species